rnacentral:rRNA from 1 species
CUUGGUCAUUUAGAGGAAAGUAAAAAGUCGUAACAAGGUCUCCGUUGGUGAACCAGCGGAGGGAUCAUUACCGAGUUUACAACUCCCAAACCGAUGUGAACAUUACCUCUAUGUUGCUUCGGCGGAGCCGCCCCGGCGCCCGGAACCCCCUGCGGUCCCGCGGCCCGGAACCAAGGCGCCCGCCGGAGGCCACAAACUCUUCUGUUUUUACAGUUUCUUCUGAGUGUGCCGCAAGGCAGUAUACAAAUGAAUCAAAACUUUCAACAACGGAUCUCUUGGUUCUGGCAUCGAUGAAGAACGCAGCGAAAUGCGAUAAGUAAUGUGAAUUGCAGAAUUCAGUGAAUCAUCGAAUCUUUGAACGCACAUUGCGCCCGCCAGAAUUCUGGCGGGCAUGCCUGUUCGAGCGUCAUUUCAACCCUCGAGCUCCCCUUUCGGGGGGAGCCCGGCGUUGGGGACCCGGCGCUAACAACGCCGGCCCCGAAAUGGAGUGGCGGCCCGUCCGCGGCGACCUCUGCGUAGUAACAACCACUCGCACCGGGACCCGGGCGCGGCCACGCCGUAAAACACCCCACCUUCCGAAUGUUGACCUCGAAUCAGGUAGGAAUACCCGCUAUCUUAAGCAUAUCAAUAAGCGGAGGA